rnacentral:lncRNA from 1 species
UUUGUGAUGAGGGCAAGAAUCGCACUUAAGAUCAAGUCUGUGGAGUAUGAGUUUCUGGAGGAGAAUUUGGGAUCCAAAAGCGAGCUUCUGCUUAAAUCAAACCCUGUUCACAAGAAAAUCCCAGUUCUGAUUCACAAUGAUAAGCCUGUUUGCGAAUCUCUCAUCAUUGUCGAGUACGUGGAUGAGGCUUGGUCCUCUUCAGGUCCCUCUAUUCUUCCUUCUGAUCCUUAUGACCGUGCCGUUGCUCGUUUCUGGGCCGCUUAUGUUGAUGAGAAGGUACAGUUUCCUUUCUUUGUUUUGAAAAAAAUGUUUUAAGUCAAUUCUUUUUAUUCGAAUUAUGUGCAUCUAAAAAUUUUUAAUCUUUUUCAGUUUUGAAAACUGUUUUCGGAAAUUAAUAAAGUCUCUCUUGGUAAAUCAAGGAGGUAAAGUGCGUGAUUGGAAUUAUUUCCGGUGGAAAAAUGAACUUGAAAAGAAAACUAAAGAAAGAUUAAGAAAGCAGAGCCCAAGAGGAAAACAAUCAAUAGAAUCUGGAAGUUUGAUUUUUCAUAAAACGGGCUUUCUAGAGACCCCCAAUAACCAAUUCUCUCAUCAAUUGCUAAGCAGUACUUUCAAGUCUCUCAACUCCCGAGCCUCCUAAGCCUUGUCCUUAAAAUUAUCGUUCGACAAAUCGAACGCUAGACGAACCGAAAGCAGGUAAGCCCUUAAAAGAAAAGCUUUGAAGGUAACUGUGCCAAGUAUGGGCUCACGCUCUUCACGGGCUCCGGCCUCUUUAGGGUUUGGGCAUACUAAGUAUGUAGCACUCCAAUAAGUAGCAGAGCCCAAAAGGAAAACAAUCAAUAGAAUCUAGAAGUAAAUCUGGAGAAGUGACGUAUACUCACAUAUCCAAGGAAAUAAAUAUAUAUGAAUCUUAAGAGAUGAUACUGAUAGAGAUUGGAGAGACAGCAAGAACGAAUCUUUAACUUGACAUAAAGCAUAUAAGAAUCAAUUGGUAGUGAUUGAAAUCUGGCCUUGAUUGAUCAAAUUAUGAUAUGUCUAUUAUGAUUUGCAGUUGUUCCCUGCCUUGAAAAGCAUUGGUAGUGCAGAUGGAGCGGAAGCUAAGGAAGCUGCGAUUGAGCAAUUGAUUGAAGGCUUGGUUUUGCUGGAGGAUGCUUUUGUUAAGUGUAGCAAAGGGAAGCCUUUCUUUGGUGGAAGCCAAAUUGGGUUUCUUGACAUUGCAUUUGGUUGCUACUUGGGAUGGGUGAGAGUGACAGAGAAAAUGAUUGAGGUGAAGCUCCUUGAUGAAGUCAAAACUCCUGGACUGUUCAAAUGGGCUGAGAGAUUCUGUGCUGAUGCCGCUGUCAAAGAUGUUAUGCCUGAGACUGAUAAGCUUGCAGAGUUUGCUAAGGUUCUUGCCAAACUCAGAGCUUCUGGCAAAUGGAAUUAAGAAGCUUAAUUCUGUGCUUGGAGGGGCACCAAAAAAAAAAAAAAAAAAAAAAGAGUUGUUUCCAGAAAUAAAUUCGAAUAAGAAUUAAGUUUUGUUUUUGGUUUCGUUUGGAACGGUAAAGCCUGUAUCAUUUGGGUUCUGUUAUCGGGCUAGGCUGCAGCCUCUCUCGUAGACUCAUGUAUACCAAGUGAAGGUAUAAAGGUUAUUGUGUUGUUUUUCUCCGCAGAAUUUUUUUCCCACAUACGGUACACAUCUGGGCUACGUGCCAUAUUCGUUGUUAUAAAAGUUAUCGUAUUAUGUAACGGUGGAAUUCCCGCAUGGCAUUUAGCAAGAAUUAACGAUUUUCGAACUCAAUAAUCUUAAAUAUUUGAGUUGCAAUCUGAAUUCUAUUGCACUUAUCAAUUGAAUAGUACAAUCAAGGAAUAAAUAAUUUUGCAUUUAUCAUUCCAUAGAUGAGUAAUACAUGGUAUCAAAUUUAAUUUAGAAUUUAAAUAUUAAAAUCUGUUUGGGCAUAUGGCUAAAAUCAAUUCAUAAUCUUUAUCAUCCUAAAAUGAGACUUUGGCUACGAGCACACUGCUGGACAAAGUGGUUAUUAAUAAUCAUAUCAAAACUGAUUAAAAUGACCAUCAAACAUGUGUUGAUUGAAUAAAUUGUGUGCAGAAUUUGAUAUUCUGUUAUUCUCUUUCCCAGAAAUCAAUUCUUAACACCACCACCACACCAGAACUGUAUACAUUUCACUAGUUUCAGUCAACCGAAAUGGCCGGUAAAAUACGGUCUGUAUAUCCGGCCCUACCCUGAGGCCCAAUUCGUCCUGACUUCGUCGGACCCUAACCAAAGUUAUUAAACAAGAAGCUGUGCUAAGCCACCGAGAGUCUGAGACUGCAGCGCCAGUCCCCAUUUAAAAUAAAUAAAAAGAGAGAAAAAAUGGCAACACUGAAGAAAAGCCCUUUGGUUCUGAUGGGAUGCGGAGAAGUUGGACGCCAGCUCCUCCAGCACAUUGUUUCCUGCCGAUCACUUCAUGCCAAUCUGGUACUCCUUCUCCACUUUCCGAAGUUUAUUAGCGCCCCACAAAUUAACUAAUUAAUUAAUUAUUUAGUAGCUAUAUAUUCAUUAAUUAUUACAUGUCGGAGAUGUAUUCUUUUGAUAUGCACUUGCCUGCCUUCUAAUAAGCUCGUCGAUGAUUCUGUUUCUAUAGAAGACUGGUAAAUUUGUUUUAACUGUAACAUUUCAUGAUUGAUGAUCGGUCGGCACGGCAGGGAGUGCAUUUGCGAGUGGUAGGAGUAAGUGACAGCAAGUCAUUGGUUGUUGCGUCGGAUGUUUUCACAAAGGAGUUCAACGAUAACCUCUUAUCAGAAAUUUGUCGCCUCAAGGCGGGCCACUCUUCUCUCUCAACUCUUAUUGGUGAUUUCGGAGGUAAUCCUCUUGUAUUGUAUUGUUGAGGAUAUAAUAGAUUACUCAUUCUGUUUAUUUCUCAUGCUUUUGCUUUUCUUUUGAUUCUUUAUCAAAGGUGAAUGCCAAGUGUUUCUCGAUUCUGAUUUGAGAGGAAAGUUAUCAGAAAUUGCAUCUCUUCUGGGUAUAUCAACAGGUUCGUCUUCGUGACAAUUACUAUCUCACCGACCUUUAUACUUCUUUUGAAACACUGAUUAGUUGUUCAAUCAAUUGAAGUUUCAUGUUUGCUUUUAGAGUUUAGUGAUUCUUAUCAUUUAUUCACCUCAAGUAAGGUCAUUUCAAGCUUGGUCUUUUGCUUAAUCUUGCAACAGGUUUGGCCUUUGUUGAUUGCUCUGCCAGUUCUGAGACUGUUGAAAUAUUAACUCAAGCAUUUGAUUUGGGUUGUUGCAUUGUCUUGGCAAACAAGAAGCCUCUUACAUCUACAAUGGUAAUAACUUUACAAGGCUUCCUUAUUUGGUAGUAAAUGGACUUAGUUGGACAUGUAUAGUCAUCCUAUGGCUAUUCUGUGAUCAACCACUAACAGACUUAAUUCUGGAGAUGGCGACACUUCCUGCUGUCAUUAAAUGCUGCAAUGCCAUUUCUUUUGUGGCCAGUUCGAACAUUCUAUAUUUUUACCAUUUAAGAUGAAUUACGUUUGGUGUUUAAUUCUUUUAAAAUUAAAAAUGACAAAUUUUCAUUGAGCAAUUUAGUGCAAUAUUAAUGUUUUUGAAUUUCAUCUAGAGAAGAUAAUGAAAAUUCCUCUACAAAUCACUAAUUGGAAGAGCAUAUAUAAAUCUGUUGAAGGAAAAUGAUAACUUUUUGUUGUCCCUUUAUUUUCCAUACUGUUUUGUCUGCUAUUCAUGCUUAACAAGUUGUUUCUAUUGCAUGUGAAUUUUUAACCAACCUCAUGCUAUUCUGUAAUGUAGGAGGAUUAUGACAAAUUGGUCUCACGUCCACGCUGUAUUCGGUAUGAGUCAACUGUAAGUGAAGUUUCCUGCUUUUGUCAUAUAAAAGGAAAUCGUGGGUGAAGUGUCUCAUUUGAUGUCUGUUUCUCCAUAGGUUGGUGCUGGCCUUCCUGUCAUACCAUCCUUAAAUCGUAUUCUUUCUUCAGGAGAUCCUGUCCAUGGUAUUGUUGGAAGUCUGAGUGGUAUUGGUUUUCUUCUUUUCUUUUCUUUUUUGGGUUAGACAUUUAUUCUUCCUUCACAUAUGAAGUUCAUGCUUUUCCUGUAUCUGCUUGUAUUUUUUUGCAACCAUAUUUCAUAUAUGAAUAUUGGCUGUCAUUUGCAUAAUAUAUUUUGUAUUAGGUACAUUGGGGUAUGUAAUGAGCGAGGUUGAAGAUGGGAAGCCACUUAGUCAAGUUGUUAAAGCUGCUAAAAGCCUGGGAUACACUGAACCAGGUUUAAUUGUGAUUUUAAAUUUCUAUAUUGCAGUAGAUCAUAUCUUUUCUAUAAGUAUAUUCAGUUGCAUCUUCUAAUUUUGUUUAUGCAUGCUUACAAAUUUAUAUUAAAAUAUUUACACAAUUUAAUUCUUAUUAUUUUUCGUUUAUGGACUUUUUUUUUUGGCUGUAAUAUUGUUUUUCCAAAUAUUCAUGCAUUAAGCAUUGUUCUUUUCAGCAUUGUUUACCAUUGACCAGUGCUUUGGAAACUUGAAGCAAAAGUUUCUUCAAUUUGGUUUGGAUUAUUAAAACACAGGAAUAGCCUGGUUUGCUUUGGUUACUUUCUUUGCCAGGUUUAUAAAGCUAUCUAAUCCUGUGGGGUAUUUUAGUUGUAAGGGCUGGAAUUUUUGUUGGUGGCUAGUUUAGAUGAGUCUACAGCAUAUUUUAUAGGUUUUUUCACCCUGUGAAGUUGCUUUUGCUCUCCGGUUGACAUUUGUUUUACCUUUGUACUUCCUUUUCAUGCAUUAGAAAAAUUUUGUUUCUUAACAUAAUGAAAAAGAAGAAACAAACAUCACAAAAAGAUUCUAUUAUCAUUAAUUACACUUUAUGAAUUUGUUGAAGUGACUGACUGAUGACAAUUGAACCCAAGCAACUCAUCGGUACUUGUAAUUAUGGUGGAAUUCCUGAGUUUGUGGUUAUGAAAACUCCAUUAUUAAGCUUUUACGAAGACAACUUCCACAGCUGCAGAGGAGGAGAGACGCACCAGUGGUCUAGUGGUAGAAUAGCACCCUGCCACGGGUUCGAUUCCCGGCUGGUGCAUGUAUUUUUGUGGCCUUUUUGCCUUUUGGGGCAUUUGUCAGAAAAUACUAUCUCCACGUGCCUUCGUAAGUCACCAGCUUUUUUAAUUCAUAAAACUCUGGGACUGUCUCCAGAUCCACGGCAUGCAUAUCUUGUGGAUGUGGUGCAGCCAUCCAGACAAAUCGCAUCUCCCACGCACUUCUUAAUUCUUACCAGUUACCGCCCUUGAGCCUUCCAAUCCAAUUCCAACGAGCCGCCAGCUUAUAAUAACAACAACUUGCUUGGUCAAAGGACGAAAGGACAAACUGUGUCAUUAUUUGUUUUCGGUCAUUUCAAUGUGUGAACACUCGCUGACUCACAUCGGAAAGACCAAUAAAUAUCCAUGAAAAUGGGACAUGGCUACGGCGCGGAAGCUGCAAGUAACAGCUUCGAACCUUCCCAUUUCCAUCACCUUGCAUUGGGACCUCUUUCUCUCUCCUCUGGCACCCGUAGAAGUUCCCCAUUGGCUGCUGUUACUUACAGAAGCCGUAACAUAAAUGAUUCCGAGCUGCCCAUUUCGUACCCCUCUUAACAGUCAAACGUUCACAUUAGUGGCGUAGUUCACAUCCCCUACAUUCAUCUGGCACUAAUUAUAAAAAAUACACAGCCCACGAAGCAAAAGACAUUUCAUUUCAGUUGCAAGAGCAGAGCUUAGAGAGAAAAAAAAAAUGGUAAAAAGCGACGUGAAGGUUUUGGGUUUUUGGCCAAGCCCAUUUCUGAUGAGGGCAAGAAUCGCACUUAAGAUCAAGUCUGUGGAGUAUGAGUUUCUGGAGGAGAAUUUGGGAUCCAAAAGCGAGCUUCUGCUUAAAUCAAACCCUGUUCACAAGAAAAUCCCCGUUCUGAUUCACAAUGAUAAGCCUGUUUGCGAAUCUCUCAUUAUUGUCGAGUACGUGGAUGAGGCUUGGUCCUCUUCAGGUCCCUCUAUUCUUCCUUCUGAUCCUUAUGACCGUGCCGUUGCUCGUUUCUGGGCCGCUUACGUUGAUGAGAAGGUAUAUU